rnacentral:rRNA from 1 species
AUACGUAGGGGGUGAGCGUUGUCCGGAAUGAUUGGGCGUAAAGGGCGCGUAGGCGGCCCGGUAAGUCUGGAGUGAAAGUCCUGCUUUUAAGGUGGGAAUUGCUUUGGAUACUGUCGGGCUUGAGUGCAGGAGAGGUAAGUGGAAUUCCCAGUGUAGCGGUGAAAUGCGUAGAGAUUGGGAGGAACACCAGUGGCGAAGGCGACUUACUGGACUGUAACUGACGCUGAGGCGCGAAAGUGUGGGGAGCAAACAGGAUUAGAUACCCUGGUAGUCCACACUGUAAACGAUGAAUGCUAGGUGUAGGGGGUAUCGACCCCUUCUGUGCCGCAGUUAACACAAUAAGUAUUCCGCCUGGGGAGUACGGCCGCAAGGUUGAAACUCAAAUGAAUUGACGGGG